rnacentral:rRNA from 1 species
AGCUUGCUAAUAAUUCUCUAGUGGCGCACGGGUGAGUAACACGUGAGUACCUGCCCCCAAGAGUGGGAUAGCCCCGGGAAACUGGGAUUAAUACCGCAUAAAGCAAUAAAGCAGCAAUGCGCUUGGGGAUGGGCUCGCGUCCUAUUAGUUAGUUGGUGAGGUAACGGCUCACCAAGGCGAUGACGGGUAGCCGGUCUGAGAGGAUGUCCGGCCACACUGGAACUGAGACACGGUCCAGACACCUACGGGUGGCAGCAGUCGAGAAUCAUUCACAAUGGGGGAAACCCUGAUGGUGCGACGCCGCGUGGGGGAUAAGGUCUUCGGAUUGUAAACCCCUGUCAUGUGGGACAUUAAAAGAUAGUACCACAAGAGGAAGAGACGGCUAACUCUGUGCCAGCAGCCGCGGUAAUACAGAGGUCUCAAGCGUUGUUCGGAAUCACUGGGCGUAAAGCGUGCGUAGGCGGUUUCGUAAGUCGUGUGUGAAAGGCGGGGGCUCAACCCCCGGACUGCACAUGAUACUGCGAGACUAGAGUAAUGGAGGGGGAACCGGAAUUCUCGGUGUAGCAGUGAAAUGCGUAGAUAUCGAGAGGAACACUCGUGGCGAAGGCGGGUUCCUGGACAUUAACUGACGCUGAGGCACGAAGGCCAGGGGAGCGAAAGGGAUUAGAUACUCCUGUAGUCCUGGCAGUAAACG